AUGCAUGUCUAAGUUCAUAUUGCCUAUAAUGGUGAAACCGCGAACGGCUCAUUACAACAGCUAUUAUUUACUUGAUUUUGAUUCCAUACGUGGAUAACUGUGGCAAUUCUAGAGCUAAUACAUGCACCAAAGCUCCGACUAUCAUUUUGACGAGCGCAUCUAUUAGAAUAAAACCAAUCGAGACUUUUUUCUUCAAUCGAGAAGAUCGCCUCGUCCAUUUGGUGACUCUGAAUAGCUUAGCUGAUCGCAUGGUCUCGUACCGGCGACGUAUCUAUCAAGUAUCUGCCUUAUCAACUUUCGAUGGUAGUUUAUGUGACUACCAUGGUUGUAACGGGUAACGGAGAAUAAGGGUUCGACUCCGGAGAGGGAGCCUGAGAAACGGCUACCACUUCCAAGGAAGGCAGCAGGCGCGCAAAUUACCCACUCUCAGCACAGAGGAGGUAGUGACGAAAAAUAACGAGACCGUACUCGAUGAGGCCGGUUAUCGGAAUGGGUACAAUUUAAACCCGUUAACGAGGAUCUAUGAGAGGGCAAGUCUGGUGCCAGCAGCCGCGGUAAUUCCAGCUCUCAAAGUGUAUAUCGGCAUUGCUGCGGUUAAAAAGCUCGUAGUUGGAUUUCAGCCUUACGACGUGGUCCAUUCAUUGAAUGCGAACUACGCCUCGUAGGCUAUUUUAAUGUUGGUUUUUCCUUACGUCGCUCUCAUCGGCAGCGUAAGGUGGCUAACGAGUUUACCUUGAAAAAAUUAGAGUGCUCAACGCGGGCUAACGCCUGAAUACUCGUGCAUGGAAUAAUGGAAUAGGAUCUCGGUUCUAUUUUGUUGGUUUUCUGAUCUGAGAUAAUGGUUAAGAGGGACAGACGGGGGCAUUCGUAUCGCUGCGUGAGAGGUGAAAUUCUUGGACCGUAGCGAGACGUCCCACUGCGAAAGCAUUUGCCAAGAAUG
rnacentral:rRNA from 1 species